UUAACUCCGGUUUCAACUUCUCGUGCGACUGCGACGCGCGCGCAAUUACGUUGGCAUCAGGGUGACGUCAAAUGUCCUUUCUCGGGCCCAACUUGAUUUUAGAACUUGCUGGGGGUGCAGCGUCAGGCAAUCGCUGGGGACAGUUGGGACCAUAGUUGCCAAUUCAGCUUAUAACAAGCGGAAUUGGGCUUGUUUUUUCUUCUGGUUGCUUAUUUUUUUUGGUGGUUGCUUGUUGCUUGUUUUUGGGCUUAUAAUUUUUUUUUCUGCUUGUUUUUGGGCUUCUUUUGUUUUUAGAUAUCACUGACACCGACUUUCAGAGAUAAUUAGUCAUUCAUCCAUAUAACACAGAUCCUCACACAGACAUACUGUAGGUGAGACGUUGUGGAUGAAUAGAGUCUUAAAGAAAUGAUGAUGAGUCAUUAAUUAUGUCUAUUGUUGCCGACUGCCGGUUGUGUGUAUUCAGUAGGGCUAAUUUGUUUUUAACAAUGACAACAACAAAGACACUGACCAGACACACAACAGUGAAGCAAUUCAGGACCACUUUAUGUGGUAUUCUUUAUGUCAGAUAUGGUUUAAGACUCUUGGGUAUUUGUUGCAAGGAUUUUAAACCAACUACCAAUAUGCUUCAACCUACAAUGGGGAUCAUUCAGAGUUGUUCGCUCGUUGGCGAGUUUCGCUAUACUGCGAUUAGUCGCUUACUGCGCAUGCGCAAGGCUCGCAGAGCGCAUGCGGUUAGUUAUUUUACACAAAAGUUUGGUAUUUUACUCACGGCAUAACAAGGAUUUUUCAUUGUUCUGGUGAUCGUAGUGUGAUUGACAGGAAGUGGGCGUUUCUGGGCAGAAACUGGCCGUUUUAUGGGAGUGUGCGGAAAAACGCAGGCGUUCGAGUUGCAAAACUCAGGAGUGGCUGGAGAAACAGGGGAGUGGUUGGACAAACGCUGGGCGUGUGUGUGACGUCAAACCAGGAACGAAACGGGCUGAGCUGAUCGCAAUGGCCGAAGUUGGCAACACUGGUUGGGACGCAUAGGAGGCCAUGUGAGGUAACAUAACAUGCGGAGAGUGGGGCAGGACAAGGAAACGCUGGGUGCUUUUGUCUACAACGUUCCACAGCGGAAAAAGAAACUGAACAAAACAGAACAAACGGUCAAAGCAAUGAAGUCCAUUAUCGUGGAUCACCUGCGUGAGGCAGAUAGUGAGCUCAAUGCCCAGGAAGAUGCACGGCUUGAGAGAUUUCUUGCGUCAGAAAAAGAAAUGCAUCAAACUUUUAUGAGUCAGUUAAUGACCAUGCAUGAUAGGCAGAUGACAUUUUUUGAACGCACGUUUGCACGUACCAUAGGGAAUACCACACAAACACAACAGCAAGACACAGCCUACCCACAGCACCCAUAUGGUCCAUACAACUAUGAGCCUCCCUCAAAUCCCCCAACACAAAUCCCGCAAUCCCCAGAAUUUCGGGUAUAUAGACAACUGCCUUAGAGCAGCGGGUUAUAAAACAAUGUUUGUGUUUUAAGGUUCUGUUUGCACUGUAUCCUCAACCCUGAUACAUACAAAUGCAAACAUUAUUUUGAUUUUACAGAGUGCCCUGUUGGCACUUUAAACUUUUAUAUUGUUACCUCAGAAAAUGGGCAGUGGGAUCCAGAUAUUGGGGCUACCUUUUUAUAUUGUUACCUCAGAAAAUGUGCGGCAGUGUGAUCCAAAUAUUGGGGGUAACCCGAUACCUGCCAAACCAAACAAUAGGGUUUUUUGUUUUUUUACAGAGUGCCCUGUUUGCACUUUACUCUUUUACCUCAGGGCAGGUGUCUUCACCAUGUGGCCCUCUAGCUGUUGUGGAAACACAUAGCAACACAUGCUGGUACAUGUUGUUCCACAACAGCUGGAGGGACACAUGUUGAAGACCCCUUGCGUUAUGUGGAAUUUUAUAGUGACAUGUUUGCACUUAAAUAUUUUAUAUUGUUACCUCAGAAAAUGUGCGGCAGUGUGAUCCAAAUAUUGGGGGUAACCCGAUACCUGCCAAACCAAACAUUAGGGGGUUUUUUUUUACAGAGUGCCCUGUUUGCACUUUACUCUUUUACCUCAGGGCAGGUGUCUUCACCAUGUGGCCCUCUAGCUGUUGUGGAAACACAUAGCAACACAUGCUGGUACAUGUUGUUCCACAACAGCUGGAGGGACACAUGUUGAAGACCCCUUGCGUUAUGUGGAAUUUUACAGUGACAUGUUUGCACUUAAAUAUUUUAUAUUGUUACCUCAGAAAAUGUGUGCCAACUGUUUAAAAAUAAGAAUUUACU